rnacentral:rRNA from 1 species
AUUGAACGCUGGCGGCAGGCUUAACACAUGCAAGUCGAGCGGGGAACUGUGCUUCGGUACAUGACCUAGCGGCGGACGGGUGAGUAAUGCUUAGGAAUCUGCCUAUUAGUGGGGGACAACAUUCCGAAAGGAAUGCUAAUACCGCAUACGUCCUACGGGAGAAAGCAGGGGAUCUUCGGACCUUGCGCUAAUAGGUGAGCCUAAGUCGGAUUAGCUAGUUGGUGGGGUAAAGGCCUACCAAGGCGACGAUCUGUAGCGGGUCUGAGAGGAUGAUCCGCCACACUGGGACUGAGACACGGCCCAGACUCCUACGGGAGGCAGCAGUGGGGAAUAUUGGACAAUGGGGGGAACCCUGAUCCAGCCAUGCCGCGUGUGUGAAGAAGGCCUUUUGGUUGUAAAGCACUUUAAGCGAGGAGGAGGCGCUCUAGGCUAAUACCCUAGAAGCGUGGACGUUACUCGCAGAAUAAGCACCGGCUAACUCUGUGCCAGCCGCCGCAGUAAAAC